GGGGAUGAUCGGUUUCGACGAUGUAAGUCGCGUGAGGAGAAGCGGGUCGAGAACGCAGAGUUAUCUCGUAAACGCCCUCUGUAAACCAAUAAGUGCCGAAUCUAAACGCACUGAUUUCGCCCUCGCUGCCUAACUAAGCGAGCGCCAAUCCGUCAGCCCGGAGUUGCUAUCGCUCCGGUUCCUGGCGUCAGCUAGAUAGCCACUGUUCGUCCACCCUUGUCGGAGGGGUGGCGGAGACUUUUAUCCGACUGGGCUCGGGUUAGUCAAUUGUUUGCAAGAAGACUAGAGCCAAGAAAACCCGGUAGCAAACUGCACCCGGAGAAGACCUGACAAAGCUACAUCGGACGCGGGUUCAAUUCCCGCCAUCUCCACGA
rnacentral:tmRNA from 1 species